rnacentral:lncRNA from 1 species
AACAAAAAACUGACUCAUGAACAACUAUAUAUCUUUCGGAAGUCCUUACUACAUCUCUGGCAAUGUUAUAUACUAUCUGAUUACACGUUUACAUCCAAUUAAGAAGAAGAAAAGCAAAAUGUGGAAUGAAAGUUACUUUUAAAUCCAACUAAUAAUUAGACAAUAAACGACACAAUUUUAGCAACUAAUAGACAUUGUCACUAAAAGUCAAAAUGUCACUAACUAAAUAUACAGCAAAAAAGGAAGCAACUUGUCCAUUUCUUUACUUGGAAAAAAAAAUUAUUUAACUUUUAUAUCAGCAAAAAGAAAUACAUAAGAAGCUGGAAAUAAAAUGUUCAUCUUUAUGUACUCAAACCUAAAGAAAAUUUGAUCUCCUUUACUAUAAGACAUCAAAGCUUCUAUCUUUGUAUUCGCCAUAUC